UAAGGAAUAUUGGUCAAUGGGGGCAACCCUGAACCAGCCAUGCCGCGUGCAGGACGACUGCCCUAUGGGUUGUAAACUGCUUUUGUUAGGGAAUAAACCCCGCUACGUGUAGCGGGCUGAAUGUACCUAAAGAAUAAGGAUCGGCUAACUCCGUGCCAGCAGCCGCGGUAAUACGGAGGAUCCGAGCGUUAUCCGGAUUUAUUGGGUUUAAAGGGUGCGUAGGCGGCACUUUAAGUCAGGGGUGAAAGACGGCAGCUCAACUGUCGCAGUGCCCUUGAUACUGAAGUGCUUGAAUGCGGUUGAAGACGGCGGAAUGAGACAAGUAGCGGUGAAAUGCAUAGAUAUGUCUCAGAACACCGAUUGCGAAGGCAGCUGUCUAAGCCGUUAUUGACGCUGAUGCACGAAAGCGUGGGGAUCGAACAGG
rnacentral:rRNA from 3 species